rnacentral:rRNA from 1 species
AGUGAACGCUGGCGGCAGGCCUAACACAUGCAAGUCGAGCGGAGAGAGGUAGCUUGCUACCGAUCUUAGCGGCGGACGGGUGAGUAAUGCUUAGGAAUCCGCCUAUUAGUGGGGGACAACAUUUCGAAAGGAAUGCUAAUACCGCAUACGUCCUACGAGAGAAAGCAGGGGAUCUUCGGACCUUGCGCUAAUAGAUGAGCCUAAGUCGGAUUAGCUAGUUGGUGGGGUAAAGGCCUACCAAGGCGACGAUCUGUAGCGGGUCUGAGAGGAUGAUCCGCCACACUGGGACUGAGACACGGCCCAGACUCCUACGGGAGGCAGCAGUGGGGAAUAUUGGACAAUGGGCGCAAGCCUGAUCCAGCCAUGCCGCGUGUGUGAAGAAGGCCUUAUGGUUGUAAAGCACUUUAAGCGAGGAGGAGGCUACUUUAGAUAAUACCUAGAGAUAGUGGACGUUACUCGCAGAAUAAGCACCGGCUAACUCUGUGCCAGCCGCCGCGGUAAUAC